rnacentral:lncRNA from 1 species
ACCCUGAACGCGCGGCCCAGAGCUCCCAGUUGGGUCCACCUCCAAAUAAAGAAGCUUCUUCCCAGGCCAGUGGCGCAAGCUUAAGUUUGUCUUCUGAAUUUGUCUUCUAAGUCCUUCCAAAAGUUGCCGACCACACAGCAGCCAAAUAUCUAUUAGAAGGUGUCAUCCUCUUCCUUACAACUCCAGUGGCUUAUCAUCACUCUUAGAAUGAGAAGGAAGCAUUCUGGCGGGAGGCCCACCGCAGCUCCUUGAAGAAGACAGCCAGGCCAGGGCCAAGACUGGGUGCCAGGGGCCUUGGAACUGCCAAAAUGCCUCCCAUUUUAUGGACAGGCCUGGCUCACCCUGAAGACAUUCCAAGUAUUUAAUCAGCAGUCCAUGGUACAUAUUGGGUUGCAGAGGGAGCCCUCAGAAGCUGGCCUUUUAGGAGACAAAACUCAGCCAGAGGAAGGAGCUGGCCUUCUCCAUGGACCAGGCUGAUGCUCGACAGAUGGAAAAAGUGCAUCUCAAUAACAAGGAUCAAUAACCGAAGGCUGACAGCUGCAGAGACCUGGCCUGAGGGGCCCCUAAGGACUCGGUUCUGCCUCUUUCCCACACCAGACUGAGUCCAGCCAGGAAUCCAUCUCACCCACCUCCCUGCACCAAGCUCCGGGAGAGCGAACGAGCGAGGGAGGAACCAUUUUUCACAUACUUUCUCUUUCAAAAUGUAGCCGUGUUUCGCAAUUUCCUACUUAAGUUCUGGAAGGCUCUAGGGCAGAACCCAAGCCACCUUCUCUAGCCACUGGCCUGGGUCUCUCGUCACCAAGAACCUGGUAGGCUAGCGGUGACGGAGAAAGGAAGGGGCCCAGAUUUACUAACCCUCCCACUGUCCCCAUCCAUGCCAGCUCACCCAAGGGUCUAUUUAGUGCAGGUCACUCUCUCUCUCUCUUUUUGUGGAGACAAUGUCUCAGUAUGUUGCCCAGACUGGUCUUGAACUCCUGGCCUCAAGCUGUCUCCUGCCUCAGCCUCCCAAAGUGCUGGGAUUAGAGGCAUGAGCCACCAUGCCCAGCCUCACAUUCUUGAUGCUAAAGGAGCUUCAACCAAGCCUCCAGCCAAAACCUGUUUAUUGUUCCCCGUGUGUUGGCUUUCUCUUGGGAGAGCCAGAAGGUGCGCCACACCAAAGCAGGUGCACCCAACCCUGGUAUGCUCACAUCUCAGCAACCCCUGAGGCACCUAAUCUUCAGAUCUUCUCUACUCCCCUAUAACUAGGCUUUUGUUCUGGCUCACUUUUACUGGCAGUACUAGACAGUAUUCCAGCCCUUUUGCAAUGAAUCCAUUUAGUCCUUAAAAA